GUACUGAUGAAGAGUCCGAGACUAGAACGAAACGACUGUCCAGUAC
rnacentral:hammerhead_ribozyme from 1 species